rnacentral:rRNA from 1 species
AACGAACGCUGGCGGCAUGCCUAACACAUGCAAGUCGAACGAGACCUUCGGGUCUAGUGGCGCACGGGUGCGUAACGCGUGGGAAUCUGCCCUGGGGUGCGGAAUAACUCGGAGAAAUCCGUGCUAAUACCGCAUAAUGUCUUCGGACCAAAGAUUUAUUGCCCUGGGAUGAGCCCGCGUAGGAUUAGCUUGUUGGUGAGGUAAAGGCUCACCAAGGCGACGAUCCUUAGCAGGUCUGAGAGGAUGAUCAGCCACACUGGGACUGAGACACGGCCCAGACUCCUACGGGAGGCAGCAGUGGGGAAUAUUGGACAAUGGGCGAAAGCCUGAUCCAGCAAUGCCGCGUGAGUGAUGAAGGCCUUAGGGUUGUAAAGCUCUUUUACCCGGGAUGAUAAUGACAGUACCGGGAGAAUAAGCUCCGGCUAACUCCGUGCCAGCAGCCGCGGUAAU